rnacentral:rRNA from 17 species
GAGGAAGGUGGGGAUGACGUCAAGUCCUCAUGGCCUUUAUGUCUAGGGCUGCACACGUCCUACAAUGGUACGGACAAACGGACGCAAUACCGCGAGGUGGAGCAAAUCCUAGAAACCGUGCCUCAGUUCGGAUUGCAGGCUGCAACUCGCCUGCAUGAAGCCGGAAUCGCUAGUAAUCGUAGGUCAGCAUACUACGGUGAAUGUGUUCCUGAGCCUUGUACACACCGCCCGUCAAGCCACGAAAGCGGGGGGCAUCCAAAGUCGCUGAGCUAACCUUCGGGAGGCAGGCGCCUAAGAUGAACUCCGUGAUUGGGACUAAGUCGUAACAAGGUAGCCGUACCGGGAGGUGCG